ACCUUGCUGGCUCAGUUGGUAGAACAUGUGACUCUUGAUCUCAGAAUUAUGGGUUUGAGCCCCAUGCUGGGCA
rnacentral:tRNA from 1 species